rnacentral:rRNA from 1 species
GUGAGGAAUAUUGGGCAAUGGGCGAAAGCCUGACCCAGCCACGCCGCGUGAGUGAUGAAGGCCUUCGGGUUGUAAAGCUCUGUGGGGAGGGAAGAAAAAGCGCAGGAGUAACUGCCUGUGUGUUGACGGUACCUCCUUAGCAAGCACCGGCUAACUCUGUGCUAGCAGCCGCGGUAAUACAGAGGGUGCAAACGUUGCUCGGAAUUACUGGGCGUAAAGCGCGUGUAGUCUGACAUGCAAGUCGGGUGUGAAAUCCCAGGGCUCAACCUUGGAACUGAACUCGAAACUGCUCGUCUUGAGUACUGGAGAGGGAAGCGGAAUUCCGGGUGUAGAGGUGAAAUUCGUAGAUAUACGGAGGAACACCAGUGGAGAAGGCGGCUUCCUGGACAGUAACUGACGCUGAGACGCGAAAGCGUGGGGAGCAAACAGGAUUAGAUACCCCAGUAGUCC